UACAGAGGGUGCAAGCGUUGUUCGGAAUUAUUGGGCGUAAAGGGCGCGUAGGCGGUGCCACAAGUCACCUGUGAAAUCUCCGGGCUUAACUCGGAGCCUGCAGGCGAAACUGUGAUGCUGGAGUUUGGGAGAGGGAUGCGGAAUUCCAGGUGUAGCGGUGAAAUGCGUAGAUAUCGGGAGGAACACCUGUGGCGAAAGCGGCGCACUGGACCACAACUGACGCUGAGGCGCGAAAGCUAGGGGAGCAAACAGG
rnacentral:rRNA from 1 species